rnacentral:lncRNA from 1 species
GCAGAGGCGUGGAAGGAGUCACGGGGCGCGCACGCCAGGGAAGACUACAAGGUGCGGAUCGAUGAGUACGAUCACUCCAAGCUCAUCCAGGGGCAACAGAAGAAGCCCUUUGAGGAGCACUGGAGGAAGCACACCCUGUCCUAUGUGGACGUCAGCACUGGGAAGGUCACUCUGGAAUAUAGACCCAUAAUCGACAAAACUUUGAACGAGGCUGACUGUGCCACCGUCCCCCCAGCCAUUCGCUCCUACUGAUGAGACAAGAUGCGGUGAUGACAGAAUCAGCUUUUUGCACAGCCAGAGAACAACACAUCACACACAAGAAACAGUUGUGCUCAUGUGAUGGGGGCCUCAGCACUAGGAAGGAGUGGACUGUUGGCGCACGCAGCAGCUUGAAUAAAUCUGAAAGUCACUACGCUGCGUAAGAGAAGCCAAAUAAAGCGCAUGCUGUGUACAGAGGGUGUCGAGAAUGUGUCCUACGUGACGGAAAGCAGAUCCGUGGUUCCCUGCAGACUGGCAGGAGCAGAUUCCAAAGGCACAGGAAGAAGCUUGCAGUACAAAGAUAAAAAUCUAAAGUGGUUGCUGUGGAGGACAGGGGUCAGUGGUGGAAGUGAGACCGAAAUAGACUCUGAAGUAAUAUCUGGACUUUGAAAUUGCAGCUAUUCCCAACCCCAGAACCUUUGCUGUCUUGGAACAGAUCACCACUGCAAGAGGGGAAGUUGCUACUGUGAUGAAUUCUGCCAUGUGGUACC